GGUAAUCUAGCUCAGUGGUAGAGUGCCUACCUUGCAUGCAUGAGACCUUGAGUUUGAUCCCUAGUACUG
rnacentral:tRNA from 1 species